GAUGAACGCUGGCGGCGUGCCUAAUACAUGCAAGUCGAGCGAACAGAUGAGGAGCUUGCUCCUCUGACGUUAGCGGCGGACGGGUGAGUAACACGUGGAUAACCUACCUAUAAGACUGGGAUAACUUCGGGAAACCGGAGCUAAUGCCGGAUAAUAUAUUGAACCGCAUGGUUCAAUAGUGAAAGACGGUUUUGCUGUCACUUAUAGAUGGAUCCGCGCCGCAUUAGCUAGUUGGUAAGGUAACGGCUUACCAAGGCGACGAUGCGUAGCCGACCUGAGAGGGUGAUCGGCCACACUGGAACUGAGACACGGUCCAGACUCCUACGGGAGGCAGCAGUAGGGAAUCUUCCGCAAUGGGCGAAAGCCUGACGGAGCAACGCCGCGUGAGUGAUGAAGGUCUUCGGAUCGUAAAACUCUGUUAUUAGGGAAGAACAAAUGUGUAAGUAACUAUGCACGUCUUGACGGUACCUAAUCAGAAAGCCACGGCUAACUACGUG
rnacentral:rRNA from 1 species